rnacentral:lncRNA from 1 species
GGCGGGGCCAAGGGGGCGGUGCGUCUGAGUUAACUCCGCCCUCGACACGUUGCUGCUCCGCCGAGCAAAAAAUACCACGAGACGGUUAGAUAGUAUCCCGGACUCAAUGGACGUGAGUUUGAGUAAGCUCCGGGAGUUGGUGAUGGACAGGGAGGCCUGGCGUGCUGCAGUCCAUGGGGUCGCAAAGAGUCGGACACUACUGAGCGACUGAACUGAGCUGAACUGAGCCUAUAUAACAUGAUGGAGAUGGAGAAGAUCAUAGAGACUUUGAGGUCUAUUUUUCUUCUUUGUUUUGAGGUCGGCUUCCCUUCUGUGUUACGAACAGGAAAACUCAGUCUCUGAGAGGCGCCGGUGUUGCUCAAGAUCACUUACCUGUGAAAAGAAGAGUUAAACUAGAGCUGUAAGUCUAACCUACCGCUUGAAGCAGCCCUUCGGGGAAUUCCGCGUCAUCCGGAAAACCUCACACCUCCAAGGAGAACUUCAUCGUGUUCCAUUUCCCGUUUUGCUGGGUCGGCCAGGCCAGGAUCGCUAUAAGUAUCUCACUCCCAAUUCUGGGCAGCCAGGAGGACCAGGGGAGGCCACGCUCAACGCCUGGCGUCCAAGGAGCACACGGCGGACAUCGACCCUCGUUCCAGACGGAAUGCCCCGUCAUCCGUGCUUGGGUUGAAGUUCAUUGCCUUACCUGGGCAGCAGCCUGGGCCACCGCUUCCUGACAGGCUCCUAGCCAGCCUGGAGCUCACCUAGCCCCCAGGAGCUCACCUGACUCUCAGUCCCCCUGCCAGACCCAGCUCGCACGGACAUCUCCACCAGGUCCUGGGAGAGCUCUGUGAGCAGACCCACCACCCAGAGCUGCUGCUCCCCGGUUGCCAGCGCGGGUUGGCAGUGGCACCCGUCACUCUUCUGCGGUUUUUAGAGAGUGAAAAAGACCUGGAAGAUGUCUGGGGGACAUACGGAGGAUGUUUAGUGCUGGAUCGUCAGGUUGGGACCUGAAGCUGUGCAGU